rnacentral:rRNA from 1 species
GACGAACGCUGGCGGCGUGCUUAACACAUGCAAGUCGAACGGAAAGGCCCUGCUUUUGUGGGGUGCUCGAGUGGCGAACGGGUGAGUAACACGUGAGUAACCUGCCCUUGACUUUGGGAUAACUUCAGGAAACUGGGGCUAAUACCGGAUAGGAGCUCCUGCUGCAUGGUGGGGGUUGGAAAGUUUCGGCGGGUGGGGAUGGACUCGCGGCUUAUCAGCUUGUUGGUGGGGUAGUGGCUUACCAAGGCUUUGACGGGUAGCCGGCCUGAGAGGGUGACCGGGCACAUUGGGACUGAGAGACGGACCAGACUCCUACGGGAGGCAGCAGUGGGGAAUAUUGCACAAUGGGCGGAAGCCUGAUGCAGCAACGCCGCGUGCGGGAUGACGGCCUUCGGGUUGUAAACCGCUUUCGCCUGUGACGAAGCGUGAGUGACGGUAAUGGGUAAAGAAGCACCGGCUAACUACGUG